UGGGAUGUAGCUCAGUUGGCAGAGUGCUUGCCUAGCAAGCAUGGAACCCUGGGUUCAAUUCCCAGUUCCCUG
rnacentral:tRNA from 1 species